AAUCACAGGGCUGCGGCCGAGAGAGAAGCCUUAUUAGAGCUUUCUCAACCUGCAGCCCUCAUCUCCGCCGGCGAGUAGGGCCAGGUGUUGGGAGCUCCCACGUGGGACAAGAUGGUGUCUUCGGCGCAGAUGGGCUUCAACCUGCAGGCUCUCCUGGAGCAGCUCAGCCAGGAUGAGUUGAGCAAGUUCAAGUAUCUGAUCACGACCUUCUCCCUGGCACACGAGCUCCAGAAGAUCCCCCACAAGGAGGUAGACAAGGCUGAUGGGAAGCAACUGGUAGAAAUCCUCACCACCCAUUGUGACAGCUACUGGGUGGAGAUGGCGAGCCUCCAGGUCUUUGAAAAGAUGCACCGAAUGGAUCUGUCUGAGAGAGCAAAGGAUGAAGUCAGAGAAGCAGCUUUGAAAUCCUUUAAUAAAAGGAAGCCUCUAUCAUUAGGGAUAACACGGAAAGAACGACCACCUCUAGACGUGGACGAAAUGCUGGAGCGCUUCAAAACAGAAGCACAAGCGUUUACAGAAACGAAAGGAAAUGUCAUCUGCCUGGGUAAAGAAGUCUUUAAAGGAAAAAAGCCAGACAAAGACAAUAGGUGCAGGUAUAUAUUGAAGACGAAGUUCCGGGAGAUGUGGAAGAGCUGGCCUGGAGAUAGCAAAGAGGUCCAGGUUAUGGCUGAGAGAUACAAGAUGCUGAUCCCAUUCAGCAACCCCAGGGUGCUUCCCGGGCCCUUCUCAUACACGGUGGUGCUGUAUGGUCCUGCAGGCCUUGGGAAAACCACGCUGGCCCAGAAACUAAUGCUAGACUGGGCAGAGGACAACCUCAUCCACAAAUUCAAAUAUGCGUUCUACCUCAGCUGCAGGGAGCUCAGCCGCCUGGGCCCGUGCAGUUUUGCAGAGCUGGUCUUCAGGGACUGGCCUGAAUUGCAGGAUGACAUUCCACACAUCCUAGCCCAAGCACGGAAAAUCUUGUUCGUGAUUGACGGCUUUGAUGAGCUGGGAGCCGCACCUGGGGCGCUGAUCGAGGACAUCUGCGGGGACUGGGAGAAGAAGAAGCCGGUGCCCGUCCUCCUGGGGAGUUUGCUGAACAGGGUGAUGUUACCCAAGGCCGCCCUGCUGGUCACCACGCGGCCCAGGGCCCUGAGGGACCUCCGGAUCCUGGCGGAGGAGCCGAUCUACAUAAGGGUGGAGGGCUUCCUGGAGGAGGACAGGAGGGCCUAUUUCCUGAGACACUUUGGAGACGAGGACCAAGCCAUGCGUGCCUUUGAGCUAAUGAGGAGCAACGCGGCCCUGUUCCAGCUGGGCUCGGCCCCCGCGGUGUGCUGGAUCGUGUGCACGACUCUGAAGCUGCAGAUGGAGAAGGGGGAGGACCCGGUCCCCACCUGCCUCACCCGCACGGGGCUGUUCCUGCGUUUCCUCUGCAGCCGGUUCCCGCAGGGCGCACAGCUGCGGGGCGCGCUGCGGACGCUGAGCCUCCUGGCCGCGCAGGGCCUGUGGGCGCAGACGUCCGUGCUUCACCGAGAGGAUCUGGAAAGGCUCGGGGUGCAGGAGUCCGACCUCCGUCUGUUCCUGGACGGAGACAUCCUCCGCCAGGACAGAGUCUCCAAAGGCUGCUACUCCUUCAUCCACCUCAGCUUCCAGCAGUUUCUCACUGCCCUGUUCUACACCCUGGAGAAGGAGGAGGAAGAGGAUAGGGACGGCCACACCUGGGACAUUGGGGACGUACAGAAGCUGCUUUCCGGAGUAGAAAGACUCAGGAACCCCGACCUGAUCCAAGCAGGCUACUACUCCUUUGGCCUCGCUAACGAGAAGAGAGCCAAGGAGUUGGAGGCCACUUUUGGCUGCCGGAUGUCACCGGACAUCAAACAGGAAUUGCUGCGAUGCGACAUAAGUUGUAAGGGUGGACAUUCAACGGUGACAGACCUGCAGGAGCUCCUCGGCUGUCUGUACGAGUCUCAGGAGGAGGAGCUGGUGAAGGAGGUGAUGGCUCAGUUCAAAGAAAUAUCCCUGCACUUAAAUGCAGUAGACGUUGUGCCAUCUUCAUUCUGCGUCAAGCACUGUCGAAACCUGCAGAAAAUGUCACUGCAGGUAAUAAAGGAGAAUCUCCCGGAGAAUGUCACUGCGUCUGAAUCAGACGCCGAGGUUGAGAGAUCCCAGGAUGAUCAGCACAUGCUUCCUUUCUGGACGGACCUUUGUUCCAUAUUUGGAUCAAAUAAGGAUCUGAUGGGUCUAGCAAUCAAUGAUAGCUUUCUCAGUGCCUCCCUAGUAAGGAUCCUGUGUGAACAAAUAGCCUCUGACACCUGUCAUCUCCAGAGAGUGGUGUUCAAAAACAUUUCCCCAGCUGAUGCUCAUCGGAACCUCUGCCUAGCUCUUCGAGGUCACAAGACUGUAACGUAUCUGACCCUUCAAGGCAAUGACCAGGAUGAUAUGUUUCCCGCAUUGUGUGAGGUCUUGAGACAUCCAGAAUGUAACCUGCGAUAUCUCGGGUUGGUGUCUUGUUCCGCUACCACUCAGCAGUGGGCUGAUCUCUCCUUGGCCCUUGAAGUCAACCAGUCCCUGACGUGCGUAAACCUCUCCGACAAUGAGCUUCUGGAUGAGGGUGCUAAGUUGCUGUACACAACUUUGAGACACCCCAAGUGCUUUCUGCAGAGGUUGUCGUAAGUCUCUCCUCUCUUACAGAGCAGCUGUGCUUUCGAUCUGGGGCCACAGACGAGCAAUGGUCAUGCCUGACUUGGCUGUAUGGAACCUCUCGCUGAUGUGAACACCUGUUCCCAUGUUUAGAUCCAGGCCGAUGGCCUGUGAAUUUUGUUCUUCUCUCAUUCCUAUUCCUUCAUAGGAUCACCAGUGCAUGAUAGAAGGUUGGAAAACUGUCACCUUACAGAAGCCAAUUGCAAGGACCUUGCUGCUGUGUUGGUUGUCAGCCGGGAGCUGACACACCUGUGCUUGGCCAAGAACCCCAUUGGGAAUACAGGGGUGAAGUUUCUGUGUGAGGGCUUGAGGUACCCCGAGUGUAAACUGCAGACCUUGGUGCUUUGGAACUGCGACAUAACUAGCGAUGGCUGCUGCGAUCUCACAAAGCUUCUCCAAGAAAAAUCAAGCCUGUUGUGUUUGGAUCUGGGGCUGAAUCACAUAGGAGUUAAGGGAAUGAAGUUCCUGUGUGAGGCUUUGAGGAAACCACUGUGCAACUUGAGAUGUCUGUGGUUGUGGGGAUGUUCCAUCCCUCCGUUCAGUUGUGAAGACCUCUGCUCUGCCCUCAGCUGCAACCAGAGCCUCGUCACUCUGGACCUGGGUCAGAAUCCCUUGGGGUCUAGUGGAGUGAAGAUGCUGUUUGAAACCUUGACAUGUUCCAGUGGCACCCUCCGGACACUCAGGUUGAAAAUCGAUGACUUUAAUGAUGAACUCAAUAAGCUGCUGGAAGAAAUAGAAGAAAAAAACCCACAACUGAUUAUUGAUACUGAGAAACAUCAUCCCUGGGCAGAAAGGCCUUCUUCUCAUGACUUCAUGAUCUGAAUCCCCCCGAGUCAUUCAUUCUCCAUGAAGUCAUCGAUUUUCCAGGUGUUGGUGAACUGCCUGUGACUCCUCUCCUCCCCGGCCCCUACCCCUCAGGGAUAAUGAGUUCAUUGCUGGGCUAGAUGUUUUAGCCAUGAUUCUGCCUCUGUUUUAUACCUGCACACAUCCUUAUCUUUGUUACAUAUGAAAUAUCUGUAUCACGGGUAUAUUGAGAGAAAUAAAGGUGAGAGCAUUCACAAA